UACGUAGGGUGCAAGCGUUGUCCGGAAUUAUUGGGCGUAAAGAGCUCGUAGGCGGUCUGUCACGUCGGCUGUGAAAACCCGAGGCUCAACCUCGGGCCUGCAGUCGAUACGGGCAAACUAGAGUGUUGCAGGGGAGACUGGAAUUCCUGGUGAUAGCGGUGAAAUGACGCAGAGUAUCAGGAGGAACACCGGUGGCGAAGGCGGGUCUCUGGGCAACAACUGACGCUGGAGGAGCGAAAGCGUGGGGAGCGAACAGG
rnacentral:rRNA from 1 species